rnacentral:tRNA from 1 species
CGGUCCUGGUGGGCAAGGUCGAUUCCGGCCGCCUCGCCACCGGCGACCAGGUCGCCGUCUGGCCUGCGGGUGCCGCCGCGCGGGUCCGU